rnacentral:lncRNA from 1 species
GAUGGAUACAUCAGUGCCCUGAAGAACAGCCCCCGCCUCCACCAGUGCCCCAUGGUUCCCGGACACUGACUAGCCAUGACAAAACUGCUUAGUGGUAUCCCCAGAAAUAUUGAUUUGAGGUUGGAUAAUAUUGAAAAGCUCCUGACCACUCUUUCAUUACCAAAACCUUGCAGCUGAGGCCCACCCAUGAGUCCCCCUCAGUAAAUCCAUCAGAUGUCUCUCAGAUAGCCAUAAAAGACCCUUUCGAGUUGAUUUUGACCACAUAUUUGCCUGCACUUUAUGGAAUAUGAAACUAUCAAACCAAAUCAACGUUGCUGCUGAUUCAAGAGUCUUAGAGGCAGAAAACUAAACAUUGGAACAUUUGUGAGUGUAUGAAGAAUUCUAAUAGGACAUCAAUUGUUUUUUUUUUUUUUAAACAAAACACUUUUUUUUUUUUUAGGGUAUUCAGAACCCUAUGGAAGUUGUGUGCAGUCUUCAGACUCAACACCUGUCUUCACUUCCCCUGGGGAAAGCCCAGGUACAUGGAAUGAGUAGUUUCAAUUUAUAAACAGCAGUAACAGGGAGGAAGUUUCACCAAGGGUCUACAACUUGGAGAAAGAAUGGAAUAACUGCGUAUCUUUUCAAGUACAUCUCAGUGUGUAUGGUUUUUGUAAUAAGAUCUAUAGCACUAUUUUUCUGUGAGAAAUAAGUAUACAUCAGUCUGAAGAAAUAAUAAAUAGAGAAUCCCUUGUAUCUGUUUAUAAAGU